UACGUAGGCAGCGAGCGUUGUUCGGAGUUACUGGGCGUAAAGAGUGCGUAGGCGGCUGUCUAAGUUUGGUGUGAAAUCUCCCGGCUUAACCGGGAGGGUGCGCCGAAGACUGGGGGACUGGAGUAUGGGAGAGGUAAGUGGAAUUCCUGGUGUAGCGGUGAAAUGCGUAGAUAUCAGGAGGAACACCUGCGGUGUAGACGGCUUACUGGACCAUAACUGACGCUGAGGCACGAAAGCGUGGGUAGCAAACAGG
rnacentral:rRNA from 1 species